ACGCUGGCGGCAGGCCUAACACAUGCAAGUCGAGCGGUAGAGAGAAGCUUGCUUCUCUUGAGAGCGGCGGACGGGUGAGUAAUGCCUAGGAAUCUGCCUGGUAGUGGGGGAUAACGUUCGGAAACGGACGCUAAUACCGCAUACGUCCUACGGGAGAAAGCAGGGGACCUUCGGGCCUUGCGCUAUCAGAUGAGCCUAGGUCGGAUUAGCUAGUUGGUGGGGUAAUGGCUCACCAAGGCGACGAUCCGUAACUGGUCUGAGAGGAUGAUCAGUCACACUGGAACUGAGACACGGUCCAGACUCCUACGGGAGGCAGCAGUGGGGAAUAUUGGACAAUGGGCGAAAGCCUGAUCCAGCCAUGCCGCGUGUGUGAAGAAGGUCUUCGGAUUGUAAAGCACUUUAAGUUGGGAGGAAGGGCCAUUACCUAAUACGUGAUGGUUUUGACGUUACCGACAGAAUAAGCACCGGCUAACUCUGUGCCAGCAGCCGCGGUAAUACAGAGGGUGCAAGCGUUAAUCGGAAUUACUGGGCGUAAAGCGCGCGUAGGUGGUUUGUUAAGUUGGAUGUGAAAUCCCCGGGCUCAACCUGGGAACUGCAUUCAAAACUGACUGACUAGAGUAUGGUAGAGGGUGGUGGGAUUUCCUGUGUAGCGGUGAAAUGCGUAGAUAUAGGAAGGAACACCAGUGGCGAAGGCGACCACCUGGACUGAUACUGACACUGAGGUGCGAAAGCGUGGGGAGCAAAC
rnacentral:rRNA from 1 species